UCCAUGGUUAAUCCAUGGAGCGAUGACAUAGCUGCAGAAUUAAGCCCCGGCUACUUCUGUGCCAGCAGCGGCGGUAUAACAAGAGGGUGCAAGCGUAUCGGAAUUACUGGGCGUAAAGCGAGCGUAGGUGGCUUGAUAGUCAGAUGUGAAAGCCCCGGGCUAACCUGGGAACGGCAUCUGAUACUGUAGGCUAGAGUAGUGAGAGGAAGGUAGAAUACAGGUGUAGCGGUGAAAUGCGUAGAGAUCUGGAGGAAUACCGAUGGCGAAGGCAGCGUUCUGGCAUCAUACUGACACUGAGGUUCGAAAGCGUGGGUAGCAAACAGGAUUAGAUACCCUGGUAGUCCACGCCGUAAACGAUGUCUACUAGUCGUUGGGUCCCUUGAGGACUUAGUGACGCAGCUAACGCAAUAAGUAGACCGCCUGGGGAGUACGGCCGCAAGGUUAAAACUCAAAUGAGUUGACGGGGGCCCGCACAAGCGGUGGAGCAUGUGGUUUAAUUCGAUGCAACGCGAAGAACCUUACCUGGUCUUGACAUAUCUAGAAUCCUGCAGAGAUGCGGGAGUGCCUUCGGGAAUUAGAAUACAGGUGCUGCAUGGCUGUCGUCAGCUCGUGUCGUGAGAUGUUGGGUUAAGUCCCGCAACGAGCGCAACCCUUGUCCUUAGUUACCAGCGGUUUGGCCGGGAACUCUAAGGAUACUGCCAGUGACAAACUGGAGGAAGGCGGGGACGACGUCAAGUCAUCAUGGCCCUUACGACCAGGGCUACACACGUGCUACAAUGGUAGGUACAGAGGGCAGCUACACAGCGAUGUGAUGCGAAUCUCAAAAAGCCUAUCGUAGUCCAGAUUGGAGUCUGCAACUCGACUCCAUGAAGUAGGAAUCGCUAGUAAUCGCGGAUCAGAAUGCCGCGGUGAAUACGUUCCCGGGCCUUGUACACACCGCCCGUCACACCAUGGGAGUUGAUUGCACCAGAAGUGGUUAGCCUAACCUUUUAGGAAGGCGAUCACCACGGUGUGGUUGAUGACUGGGGUGAAGUCGUAACAAGGUAACC
rnacentral:rRNA from 1 species